rnacentral:lncRNA from 1 species
GUGGCACUGUGUUGGGCACUGAGGAAACAAUGGGAACAUCCUUCUGUAUCAGAAAUUCCCAUGUUUCCAUAUCCAGAUUUCUUCACCAAGGCAGAUAAAGAGUUGGCAAAAAUCAUUGACCAUCACUGGCAGGAAGAGCUAAAGAUCCGAGAAAAAGAAGAUGCAAUAUGCAAGGCCCAAGAACUUAAAGAUAAAAAGUUAGCAGAGAAAAAUCACUUUCAAGAAGUUAUGAAGAAAAGAGAAGAGAAACUACAUAAGCAAACCAAGCCCUAUGAACUUCCUUAUAGGAAGGAAGUAAUUUAAUUAGAAAAGAAAAUGUCACCUCCCAAAAUUGAGGACUACAUGGCAGAAAUACAUAGGAUGAAAAAUACCAAGAUAGCUACAUAGUAAGAGAACUUUCUUGUCAUUAAAUGGAGGUAUUGUUUAGAAAGAAUUUGUUUUCCUGAUACAAGCUGUUUGUUUAAUAGUUAUUUCUUAGUUCUAAAUUAAUGACCAACUUUUAAUCACACUUGAAUGAAGUGAUUUCACUAGUCAAAAAUUUCCAAGACUACAUCUAGUAUUUUUCUCAAUUGACCUUUAUCUCAUGAUUGUACAGCAUACUUGAUAACUGAUUCUCAGAACAUUGAUAUUCAUCAAACAAACAGUUUGAUGGAAAUUCAUUACAAAUUAAUUAAUGGGUCACCAGAUAAGAAUUAUUUCUUGAAAACAGAAUGAACAUAAACUAACAAUCCUGUAAUUACUAUUAUUCAAAUAAAAACAGUAUGGCAUCUUAUUUGAUUGGCAUUUUAUAGUCAAUUUAUACCAAACCAAACAAACCCUAUUUCAGAGAUUUGAAUCUGGGAGGGCUGGUCAUCUUAGAUUGAUUGGCUUGAUCUUUAACAGAUGCCAGAGGGGAUUCCUGAGAGAUGGUGGUUUUACUCUGUUCUGUGAGUUUAUGAGAAUGAAUUCUUAUGAACCUGGAAGGUCCAGGAGCAACUGCUGAA